rnacentral:lncRNA from 1 species
CCACAUUCUACAAAUUCUGGAAGUGACUAACUUAAAAUUCUCACCAUCAUCAGUACGCAUGCCCUCAGCAGUUAUGUCCAUUCUUUGUAUCCCUAGGCUCUACUUAAAACCUCCUUGGAAAUCAGCUUAAAGUGAAGGGAAGAAAUUCACAAAAAUUGAAUUUUAUAAGCAUACUAGCAUUGGAAGGAAGGGUCUGAUCCCCAGUUCAACUGCCUACCCAAUCCAGGUUUGAAUGCCAGUUCUAAUGUCUAUGAGAGAGAGAGAGACAGAGAAACACAAGGAGACACAGAGACACACACUAAAACUUGCCUUGUAUACCAAACAAGAAGAUUCCAAAAGCUACAUGAGCUGCUCAUCCUUAGAGCAAAGACGAGACAACUGGAAGCAGACAUGGUCAUGACCAACAGAGGGGCAUGGGCAGGUGACGAGCAGCUGCUCUAUUUCACUGAGAACCAAAUAAGAAGAGGUUGCAAAAGCCCUCGGUCACCAAAGUUAGCCAUUUCCAGGAAGAACCACAAGGGCUGGGAGCCACUGGAAUGUCACAAACAGACUCACUCAUCUGAAUAUUUAAAAAGAACAUUAAAAAAGGACUGUUAAAGUAAAUCUCAUAUAAUCAUUAUCAGGAGAAUCCAGAAAAUGUCUUUCAGGCCCAUUUUAAGAAAAAAUCAUCUUAAUUUUGCCAGCUUUAUUAAAGUAUAAUUGACAAUUCGAAAUUGUACAUAUUUAAGGUGUACAACUUGAGUUGAUAAUAUACAUAUAUAUUGUGAAAUAAUCACCACAAUCAAGUUAAUUGACAUAUCUAUCACGUCACAUCGUUACCUUUUCUGGUGAUGAGAACACGUAAGAUCUACCCUCUCAGCAAAUUUCAAGUAGACAAUACAGUAUUGUUAACUAUAGUCACACUGUGUAUAUUAGACCCCCAGAAUUUGUUCAUCUUAUAUAACCAAAACCUUGUACCCCUUGACCAACAAUAGUCCCAAUUUAACAUCAUCUUAAUUUUAAAAGAUUUCUUAUUUAGUAUCCCAGGCCGAGAAAGACCAAAAAUAGUCACUGACCAAUAAUGAUUCCAGUAGAAUUUAAUUUCCGUAAUUGGAGUCUGUCCUUUCACAAGCCAAAUGAAAGCUAGUUUAAUUAAAGUGUUUAGAUACUGGUGAUAUGCUUAAUAUAAUAGGCAAAGAGUUUAGAAAUGUGAGGUCUAAUUGAAGCAUUGACAUUAAUCCUCUGCAUCUAAAAUCUGAAACAGAAAGGGCAACCACCCUAUUAACUUUAAGAAGUAAAAUAAUUUCUAUGCAAGUGUUUUGCAAAGAAGAAAGCACAAUACAAUUGUAGGUUAGGGCCCCUGGCUUUUAGAUAAUCACACAAUGACACAGCACAGUUAAUUCCAUUUUAAUGAGUAAGAAAUUAUGGUAGCUAGGCUACCAAAAAAGAAAGAAAAACAGUAACACAAUGCUGCUUCAACCCCCCACCCAAAACCCUGUGCCUACCGCAGCACUGUAUUUGCCCUUGGGCAACACAUUCUAAACCUCUGAAGAUGUAGUUUUUUUCUUUCCAGGUAAAGAAUACAUAUUUCUCCCUUUAUUUUAUUUAUGCUUGUUUUUGUCAGAAUAUAUGAGCAGAGUUUUCAAAGAUUUUAAUUCAAAUUUUGAAACCUUUGGAAAUUUUUUACUCACCAGUGUUUGAGGGACAUGUUGUCCAGUAUUUUACCACAUUACUCAUUUUUUCCAUUGUCAGUGGUUCAGUUAAAGCAAUAUCCAUUCCAUGCCCUGAAAUACAACCUAAGAAUCUUUAUAUUAAAUAUUGACCUUAUAGUUUCUAUUUAGAGAAAAAACAAAUACUAUAUUUAGCAGGUACAUACCUUUAAAAUUUUCAGGGAUUAUAAAAACAAACAGUGAAUGUGUAUUUUUCUUUUUGCCAAAUCUGAGAGAGGAAAGAAAAUGUUAAAAUGAAGCAAAAUCAUUAUUCAAAAAAUUGAGAUUCAGGAGUUUAGCUUAUUAGGAACUAACUACAGUGAUUUUCUUCAUUUCUUUAGAAUUUAAAAUAAUAUCAUUAAUAUGGAAAUUUAGUAAAAGUAGCAUCUCAAAUCAGUGAGGAAAGAGAUGAAUCACUUUUUCUUAAAAAUGAAAAAAAAAAGCCUAAACUUUAUCCAAAUUUUUGGUCAGAUCAUCAGUUUACAAGAAUUUUGUGGAAAGAAACAUUUUAAAGAACAUCAUGGGAAUGAAACAAGCAGAAUCUAGAAUGGGGGGAAUUCUGUAAGACAAAUGACUCCUUUUAAAUAUAUAUAUAAUUAAAGAACAAGACAAGAAAAAGGAAAGUUGAAUCCUGAUUUGUAUAAACUCACAGUUUAAAAAAAAUCAUAAGGAUAAGCAGGGAAAUUUGAAUGCUAAUGGGAUAUUUGACAAUACUAAGAAGUGAUUACUAAUUUUCAGGUAUAAUAUGGGUUUUGUGGUUAUUCUCUGAGUCCUCACCUUAGAGAGGUACCAAUUAAAGUAUUUAUGGAUGAAAUAAAACAGUAUUUUAGAUUUGUCUUAAAAUAAUCCACUGGUGGGCAGGGGUGGGAAGGUAGGGAGAAACAUGAUGAGCCAGAUGUGGGUAACCGCUGAGGCUACAUUAUGGGUGUAUUAUUAUACUCUCUCCCCUUUUAUUUCUUGAAAUUUUUCAAAUAAAACUUUUUUCUUAAAGUGGCAUUAUAGUUCACUAAACUCAGUACAGUAAGUCUGGAAUUCGAUAAUUGGAUGGAUACUGAGCCUUGGCAUUAGCCAAAAUGAAAUGAUUUGCAGGGAGAAUGUGACUGUGAAAGAGAUUUUAAAGAGAACAGUUUAAAACUACCUAAGAAAAGCAAACUAUUCUCAAAUACUUUAAAACAUCAUUUAUUAGCAUGUGGUUACAUAUGGUUAUUAUUUAUUUAUUAAAAUGAGAACUGGGAUCACCCCCACUGUAUAACAUUGUUAGUUUAUCUUACAUAUGCAUUUGGAAG